UACGUAGGGUGCAAGCGUUGUCCGGAAUUAUUGGGCGUAAAGAGCUCGUAGGCGGUCUGUCGCGUCGGCUGUGAAAACUCGGGGCUCAACUCCGAGCUUGCAGUCGAUACGGGCAGGCUAGAGUUCGGCAGGGGAGACUGGAAUUCCUGGUGUAGCGGUGAAAUGCGCAGAUAUCAGGAGGAACACCGAUGGCGAAGGCAGGUCUCUGGGCCACUACUGACGCUGAGAAGCGAAAGCAUGGGGAGCAAACAGG
rnacentral:rRNA from 1 species